GGAUUGUAGCUCAGUUGUAGAGCACUUGCCUCGCACAUGUGAGGCACUGAGUUCGAUCCUCAGCACCA
rnacentral:tRNA from 1 species